rnacentral:rRNA from 1 species
CGGACGAACGCUGGCGGCGUGCCUAACACAUGCAAGUCGAGCGGAGUCGAUCGACGGAAGCCUUCGGGCGGAAGAUGGUUGACUUAGCGGCGGAUGGGUGAGUAACGCGUGGGCAACCUGCCUCGAAGACCGGGAUAACAGCCCGAAAGGGCUGCUAAUACCGGAUGUGGUCAAAGAUCCGCAUGGAUUUUUGAUUAAAGGGGAAACCCGUUUCGAGAUGGGCCCGCGUCCUAUCAGCUAGUUGGUGAGGUAAAAGCUCACCAAGGCAACGACGGGUAGCCGGCCUGAGAGGGUGACCGGCCACACUGGAACUGAGACACGGUCCAGACUCCUACGGGGGGCAGCAGUGGGGAAUCUUCCACAAUGGGCGAAAGCCUGAUGGAGCGACGCCGCGUGAGCGAAGAAGGCCUUCGGGUUGUAAAGCUCUGUCUGGAGGGACGAAGGAAGUGACGGUACCUCCGGAGGAAGCCACGGCUAACUACGUG